rnacentral:lncRNA from 1 species
CCCAGGAGUAGGCUGGGGAGAGGCCCGUGGCAAAGGUGUGGCAGCCGUGACCCUACUCUCCCCCUUCCACGUGUGCCUGUGCCCCGUGGUGCCACCUCACAGACACCAGUCUGAGAAGGGAUUAUGCCUGGGAAUUCCCACGGCUGGAUUUUCAUUGCAGAACCUGACGAAAGGGGCUUUGCAGGGUCCAGAAUGAAGAGGAGGCAAUGAGAAUUAUCCCUGGAGGAUUCUAGAAGUAGAGGCUGGGAGUAUCCACAGGUAAAUCGAGCCUGAACUAUGACUAGAAAGGAAUUGGGAGAAAGAGACACAGGUGAAUCGAGCCUGAACUAUGACUAGAAAGGAACUGGGAGAAAGAGACACAGGAAACUGUGAGCUUUGGGAGCAAUGGGGACACCACCACCAGGAAGUCAGGGGGCACUCAGCCGGUGUGUGCCACACAGAGGAGCCUAGAAACUUCCUGGCCUUGGUUGGGGCUGCAGUGGCCAGACUGUGUACCUGGUGGCCAAGGAAGGUAACUAGAGCCCCACGUAGAGGACUGAGUGCCACUCACUCUAUGCUGUGAUCUAAUAGGUCUAGGCUGAGAAAUGGGACUGACCCCACUUCUGGUGACAGAGUAAGCCUGGAGACAAGCGAAGAGCAUGCAGUGUGUUUAUUGCAGACAGCAGGGUGCAGUGGAGUGGGCUGCACCCACUGCACCUGCUUCUGGGCCAGCUGGGGGUCCCGC